rnacentral:rRNA from 1 species
ACACCGGCAGCUCAAGUGGUAGCCGCUUUUAUUGGGCCUAAAGCGUCCGUAGCCGGUCUGAUAAGUCUCUGGUGAAAUCCCACAGCUUAACUGUGGGAAUUGCUGGAGAUACUAUCAUGACUCGAGGUCGGGAGAGGCUGGAGGUACUCCCAGGGUAGGGGGGAAAUCCUGUAAUCCUGGGAGGACCACCUGUGGCGAAGGCGUCCAGCUGGAACGAACCUGACGGUGAGGGACGAAAGCCAGGGGCGCGAACCGGAUUAGAUACCCGGGUAGUCCUGGCCGUAAACGAUGUGGACUUGGUGUUGGGAUGGCUUCGAGCUGCCCCAGUGCCGAAGGGAAGCUGUUAAGUCCACCGCCUGGGAAGUACGGCCGCAAGGCUGAAACUUAAAGGAAUUGGCGGGG